rnacentral:ncRNA from 1 species
CCCGCUAAAUUUAAGCAUAUUAGUCAUGGAGGAAAAGAAACUAGCCAGGAUUCUCUCAAUAACGACGGGUGAACACGGAAGACCCCAGUGCAGAAUCCCGCCCCAAGGUGGGUGGGAAAUGUGGCUUAGGGAAGACCGGCUCCCCAGUGCUGCCUGUAGGGGGUCCACGCCCUUCUGAUCCAGGCCCAGCCUGUGGAUAGUGUGAGGCCGGUAGCGGCCCCAGUGUGUGGGCCUAGUCUUCCCAUAGUUGGGUUGCUUGGGAAUGCAGCCCACAGUGGGUGGUAAAUCCCAUCUAAGGCUAAGGCGCUAAGUAACAUGAAU